rnacentral:lncRNA from 1 species
UCCUCUGGGGCCAGGCCCGGGGGCUGGGCGUCAAGGACACCCCCUCCUCACUGCAGUCCCGCCACCCUUUCCAGCGCCGCCCCCACGGGAACGCAGCGAGGGGACAUCAGGCCCCCUCCCACCCCACCGAUCCCCACAGCCCCGUGGCCGCCCGGGUCCCGGGUCCCCAGCACAGGUCCCGGCCCGUCUGAGUCUGCGUGGGCCUUCUGCACCUCGAAAGCCGCGACUGAACGCCUGCAGUGAGCGAGGCUCCGGGGACUGAAGACUCUGAUGGGGGAGGCGCUGGGAUUCAGGGAGGGCCACGUGGUGGGCGGAGGAGGGAGGACAGGCGACAGCCAGGGCGGCCGCUGUCUCCGGGAGGCGCAGCAGGCAGAGGGAGGCGGAGGCGCCCGCGGCCCGCUGCUCUCGGGAGAGGUUCUUCGGGCUGGAGCGGCGGUGGCGCGGUUGUCAUGGCAACCGGGAAGGAUUUCCCAAACACCGCCUGCGCCUCGCCUCCGCGGAGCACCGGCUGGGAGCCAGUCCCGGGCCCCACGUGGUGUGCAGGAGUGGAGCUGCGCGCAACCCAGGCGCCCAGAGUGCCCCCCACGGGAAAGAAAGGCGGGGAGGAAAUGUUUUUAUUGGGGGGGUCUGGAAGUACAGGUUGAGACUGUAGUCACAGCAUGCGCAAAGGUCCUCGGGCAGGCACACGGAGGGGUCAGGUGUGCCUGGACCGCAGGGCUAGUGUUCCCCCAAAGCGUGGCACUGUGACAGUGAAGCAGUUUGGAGGCUGGAGGUCUCCACAUCUGUUGUCUCUUGUCUCUCCUAAACUGUGUCCCUAGAAACCAGAAUUCCUCUUCUGCACAGCAGGUCAUAGAAAUUGGAGCCCUGGACCCCGAAAACAAGCUGUCGCACCUCAAAAGAUGGGUUGGUGUUUGGGUCAGUGGUGAGUGUAGGCCUUGAAUGCAUGAGGCCCUGGUUGCAUCCCCAGCACCACACAACAAAACUUGAAAGGCCCGCUGUUCCUACUGUCUCCCGGGAAGAUCUCUCCAGGCACAGGGUUCCAGCCCGGAAGAGGUGGUGCACACUGUGGAGACUGAGACAGGAGGAUCGCAAAUUCAAGCCCAGCAUGAGCACCUCAGGCUGGACCUGUCUGUGCCCAGCCCUUCCCCCUGCAGGAGUGACAGGAGGUGGCUGGGGUCGCCAGGGCUGGCAGGCCCAGCUGGGACUGACCUGUCUCCUGGGCUCCAAAGCCGCCUCCCUUCUGCCUCCCGGUUGCUGCUUCCAUGCGGACCGGGGCUAGCUUUGUCACGGUUGAUUGUCACUUGCCCCAGCCACCAUCCAGAUCCAACCCCAGGACAGCACAGUGGGGCCUGGCGGGUGCAUUUGUCUCUCUCCAAGGAGGGGAGCCAGGCACCACCCCCUCCUUGCUGAAGUGGGGCCGGGCCGGGUGGGGAACAGGCCGGUGGCCAUGCUGCCCCUGCCCAGCUGUGUGUGGGAGCCAGCCGCAACUCCCAGACCCAUUUCCUCACAGAGGCUGUAAUUAUGGGUAAUUUUCUAAAUGCAACACAAAAAUUAAACCCCAAACACCGGGAGAGGCUCCUACAGCAGCUGGUGGAAGCAGAGGGGAGGUCGGGGCUCGGGUCGGGGGCACCGGCCUGGGCUUCGGACAGCACCAAGGGUCCUCCCCAGGCCCUGGGUUCCGAAACGGGGACUGUGCCCAAGGUCCAGCGCCUGGAGCAGAGCCUGAGUCAGAACCCCAGCCGUGCCCUGUAGCCUUGAUCAGCUGCAAGUAAGGCUGGUGACCUUUCUUGGGCCUCCCCAAACCUGCAAGGGGACGUUCUUUCGAGAGAAGGAGGCUGGCCCAGGAGUCUCUGCCAAAACCCGCCAUAUCCAUCCUUGCUACACUUCCGCUGAGCCGUGGGCGCUGCUACCUCCCUAGAGCCUUCCGUGGCUCCCGUGGCCCAUGACUCAAGUCCUGCACUCUGCCCUGUGCCUGCGACCCCACUAGAGGACCAGGCACUGGCAACCGUGAGUCCCCCUUCCGGUCACCCAGGACCCCUCCCACAGCCCCACAGAGAGGCAGCGUCUGGGGGAGGGCACCCGUUCUGUCCCCCUGAGGUUCCUCCACCAGGUCACCGCUACCUCGCCUGGUGGCUAUUGUCCCCUGUGGAGGUCCUCCCCAGGCAAGGAAUGCUUCCUGGGGUGACCUCCCUGACAGCGCCCUCAUUCUGAAAGUCGAACUUGCCAUCCUUCUGCCUCAGCCUCCUUAGCCUAGAAGAGAGGCGCUCAUAGGGCCGCCUGGCUGUGACAUGUCAUUCUUUAACUUCGUGUGUCUGUUGUCUGCACCCUAGGAACCUCCUACUUUCUCCGAGGGCAGGCAUUUGAGUGUGUUACUUAGUUCCGCGUCCCUCCCGCCUAAGGGACGUGCGAGCACACAGCCACCUGGACUGCAGUUCCGAGAGUGGCCACACAGUGGCGCCAGAGAGCGCUAGUUCCUGAGGAUCCCAGCCCCGUUCUUCCUUUGGAGUCCCGGUGGCCCCCCACCCUGACACCCCGAGUUCUCCGAGUGGAAGCUGCCUCCUGGUCCUUCACUGAUGCAUGAUUCUGCUGCACGCCUCCUGCCUCAGCCUCCAGAGUGCUGGGAUCACAGACAGGGUCUCGCUAUGCAGUGCAGGCUGGCCUUGAGCUCACUAUGGACCCCAGGCUGGCCUCCAACUCACUGCGAUCCUCCUGCCUCAGCCUUCCAUAUGCUGGCCACUAUGCC